rnacentral:tRNA from 1 species
UGUCAAGGGAUGGGAAUUAAACCCACGACCUUCCGCUUACCGGGCAGAUGCCAUGACCACUAGGCUACCCUGGAC